rnacentral:rRNA from 1 species
GGUUAAUCCUGCCUGUAUUCAUAUGCUUGUCUCAAAGAUUAAGCAAUGCAUGUGUAAGUAUGAACAAAUUUAGACUAUCAAACUACGAAUGGCUCAUUAAAUCAGUUAUAGUUUGUUUGAUGGUAUUUGCUACUCGGAUAACUGUAGUAAUUCUAGAGCUAAUACGUGUAACAAACCCUGACUUCUGGAAGGGAUGCAUUUAUUAGAUAAAAGGUCGAUGCGGGCUUUGCCCAUUGCUCUAAUGAUUCAUGAUAACUCGACGGAUUGCAUGACCUUUGUGCUAACGACACAUCAUUCAAAAUUUUUCCCUAUCAACUUUCGGUAGUAGAAUAGUGGCCUACUAUGGUGGUGACGGGUGACAGAGAAUUAGGGUUUGAUUUCGGAGAAGGAGCUUGAGAAAUGGCUACCACACCCAAGGAAGGUAGUAGACGCGUAAAUUACCCAAUCUUGACACGGGGAAGUAGUGACAAUAAAUAACAAUAUUGAGCUCUAUGAGUCUAGUAAUUGGAAUGAGUAGAAUCUAAAUCCCUUAACGAGGAUCCAUUGAAGGGCAAGUCAUAGUUGGACUUAGGGGUGGGUCAACCGAUCUGCUCAUGGUGAGCACCAGUCUGCUCAUCCCUACUGCUGAUGAUGCGCUCUUGGCCUUAAUUGGCUGGGUCAUUCCUUAGGUGCUGUUACUUUAAGGAAAUUAGGGUGCUCAAAUAGGCUUACACUUGUGUACAUUACCAUGGAUAACAUCAUAGCAUUUCGAUCCUAUUAUGUUGGCCUUCAAGAUCGAAGUAAUGAUUAACAAGGACAGUCAAGGGAAUUCGUAUUUCAUAGUAAGAGGUGAAAUUCUUGGAUUUAUGAAAGAUGAACAACUGUGAAAGCAUUUGCUAAGGAUGUUUUCAUUAAUCAAGUACGAAAGUUAGGGGCUCAAAGACGAUCAGAUACUGUCCUAGUCUCAACUAUAAAUGAUGCCGACCAAGGAUCAGUGGAUUUUACUUUUAGGACUCCACCGGUACCUUAUGAGAAAUCAAAGUCUUUGGGUUUUGGGGGGAGAAUGCUCGCAAGGCUGAAACUUAAAGGAAUUGAUGGAAAGGAACCACCAGGAGUGGAGCCUGCGGCUUAAUUUGACUCAACAUGGGGAAACUUACCAGGUCUAAAAAUAGUAAGGAUUAACAGGCUAAGAGCUCUUUCUUGAUCCUAUGGGUGAUGGUGCAUGGUCGUUCUUUGUUGGUGGAGGAAUUUGUCUAGUUAAUUUCGUUAAUGAACAAUACCUUAGCCUGCUAACUAGCUACACAGAGGUGAUCCCCUGUGGCUAGCUUCUUAGAGGACUAUGGCCUUUUAAGCCAAGGAAGUUUGAGGAAAUAAUAGGUUUGUGAUGCCCUUAGAUGUUCUGGGUCACACGCGCGCUACACUGAUGUAUUUAACGAGUCUAUAGCCUUGGCCGACAGGCCCGGGUAAUCUUUGAAAUUUCAUCGUGAUGGGGAUAGAUCAUUGCAAUUGUUAGUCUUAAAUGAGGAAUUCCUAGUAAGCGCGAGUCAUUAGCUCGCGUUGACUACAUCUCUGCCUUUUGUACACACCGCCCGUCGCUCCUAUCGAUUGAAUGGUCCGAUGAAGUGUUGGGAUCGCGACAACUAUGAUGAUUGUUAUAUCAAAAUUGAUAUAUUGUUAUGUAUGUGAUUUUAAUUGUGUUGAUCUCACACUAGG